rfam:Capsicum annuum cultivar Zunla-1 unplaced genomic scaffold scaffold969, whole genome shotgun sequence
UAAUGAUGAUAAGGAUAAUUUUUUAGCAUGCCUUUAAAUCUCUCCCAAUAUUGGCAGAGAUUUUCUACAUUUUUUUUCUAAAACUCAAGAUCUCACUCCUCAAUAG